rnacentral:rRNA from 1 species
AUUGAACGCUGGCGGCAGGCCUAACACAUGCAAGUCGAGCGAGCGGCGGACGGGUGAGUAAUGUCUGGGAAACUUCCUGAUGGAGGGGGAUAACUACUGGAAACGGUAGCUAAUACCGCAUACCCUCAGAUUUGCCCAGAUGGGAUUAGCUAGUGGGUGGGGUAAUGGCUCACCUAGGCGACGAUCCCUAGCUGGUCUGAGAGGAGGACCAGCCACACGGGAACUGAGAAACGGUCCAGAAUCCUACGGGAGGAAGCAGUGGGGAAUAUGGGACAAUGGGCGCAAGCCUGAUGCAGCCAUGCCGCGUGUAUGAAGAAGGCCUUCGGGUGGUAAAGUACUUUCAGCGGGGAGGCGUUACCCGCAGAAGAAGCACCGGCUAACUCCGUGCCAGCAGCCGCGGUAAUUC